GUGUGCAAGCAGGAGGGGGCAGGGAUCUCUCAGGCAGUGCAAUGCCUCCCUUCCCAUCGGAGCAGCCCCAAUCCCAUUCCUACUUGCGUGCAAGCCGGAGGGGUGGGGAUCCCUCAGCUGGGAAGGGAGGCUUCCUGUUGCCUAACUGAGAGAUCCCUGCCCCCUUCUGCUUGCAUGC
rnacentral:miRNA from 1 species